rnacentral:tRNA from 1 species
GAGGCUUUAGUUUAAUUUUUUAAAAAUUUAGGUUUGUCAAUUCUAAGAUGCUGGAUAGCAAGCUUCU